rnacentral:lncRNA from 1 species
GUACGCACAUGUGGGAGUGGCCCAGCCCUGGAACAGCAGAGCCUGCCCUGGUGGGAGGAUGAGGAAGGGAGUGCCACAGGUCUGAGGCUCUGGGCAGUUCCUCCCAUCGGAUGCUGACUUUGAUGGGGCAGAAGGAGUUCUUUCCGUCCCAUCCACCCCAACCCCAGGCCCGCAAACAGGUCAGGGGAGCAGCCAGCUGAUGGGGGUGGGAGCCUGGCUCUCACCCAACCAGAGGCCAUCUUCCUUGGCACCCAGCCUCACAGCCCCAAACCCACCCAAAGGGACGAGGCAAUGCAGACCAGAAGAAAAAAAAAGCGCUCACUGGGGGUCUGGAGCUGGAGUCUGACCCCAGAUAUGGAAAUAAGACUCAGAGAAGGAGAGGUGGGCUGGGACGAGAGCCCUCGGACCUGACCCCAUCCCUAGUGCUGACUGGGUCCUCCUGCCCCUCCGUCCUUUCUGGGCUGUGAAGCAGCAGGGUGUCACUCCCCUUGCGGCCUUCCCUCCCCCGCUCCAGCUCCUGUCCUGGCAUCUUUAUCCAAUGUGGAAAGCUUCUCCUAGAAUGCCAGGUGUCCACUCCCUCCAGCUGCCUGCCCCAUCUGUUCUAGGGUGGCCCCAGAGACAUCACUGUCCUAGGGUGGCAUUCACUGUCAGUCUAACACUUGGAUUUUCCUUGGCAUCAGGUCAGAGGUCCAGCUCUGGAUCCACUUCAACAACCCUCCCCUGGCCCACAGAGGCCAGGGACCAGACAGGUUUCCAGAAUCCAGACGUACCGAGUCCCUGACCCUUCCCCAUAUGGACAGAUGUUAGUCUCCAUCUCUCUGGGAUGUGAUGUGAACAGCUGCUCCAGAACCCUGGAGCAUGCCAGAGGCCAAGGCUUGAGGCCAACAUCGUACCCUCCCUCCAACUGCACCUUCCAAAAGAAGCGUGGAGCCAGGCAAGAAAAACAUUGGUUUUGGAGUGAGCUGGCUCUGGGUUCAAAUCCUGCUGUUGUCCCAGCUGUGUGUCCUUGGACAAGUUGCUUCACCACUCUGAACUCCAGUUUCCUUCUCUAUAAAAUGGGCAUGCCUAUGCCUCACAUUGCAUGGCAGUUAUGGGGCUCACGUGACCUGUGUGUAAAGGCACACAGUAGGUGCUUAAUAAGUGGGAUAGAUGAUAUGAUUCAUUCUGUAGAUCGGGUGUGCGGUUCAGUGCUCUGCGCCUGUGGGCACCAUCCCUCCAGGUCCCUGGGUCCCAGUCACUCUUGUCAUCAAUUAAUGCUGCUGUGCCACUUGAAUGGCCAUCUGUCAGCACCAGCUGCCGCCUGCCGCCAUCAGGGCACCACGCAAGGCCGCAUAUGCCCCAGGGGCCCUGCCACGCCCUGUCCGCCCAGCAGACUGCUCCAGUCUGCCCCAGUCUGCCCUCAGGCUCCCAGAUAAGGGGACAGCAGCAACUCCCCCAGGUUCCAAGGGCACCCCUUGUCCUCACCCGGGGCCUUCCACACCCCCAGGGGCUCCCCGUGAAGGUCUGGGGCCCAGGGACCCGGCUGGAAGCCCCUCUGCUCCCACAGCGUGGCCGGCCCCUCCCGCCCCUCCGCCAGC